CCCCACGGGACUCAGCAGUGAUAAA
rnacentral:piRNA from 2 species